AGGGCGUCAAGUCAGAGGGGGUAGACGCGAAACCAAGUGAUCUACACUUGUCCAGGUUGAAGUCCCGGUAACACGGGAUGGAGGACCGAACCAAUAAGCGUUGAAAAGCUUCUGGAUGAGAUGAGUGUAGGAGUGAAAGGCCAAUCAAACUUGGAGAUAGCUCGUACUCCCCGAAAGGCAUUUAGGUGCCGCGUCGGAUGGUCACCGUGAGAGGUAGAGCGACCGAUAGGACAAGAGGGCUUCACCGCCUAUCGAGUCCUGACGAACUCCGAAUGCUCACGGUCUGCAGUCCGGCAGUAAGGGGGCGGGUGCUAAGGUCCGUCCCCGAGAGGAGAAGAAUCCAGACCGCCGUCUAAGGUCCCGGAAUUCUGUCUAAGUUAGUCUAACGAAGUGGGGUCUCAGUGACAGCCAGGAUGUUGGCUUGGAAGCAGCCAUUCAUUCAAAGAGUGCGUAACAGCUCACUGGUCGAGAGUCCCCGCAUGGAUAAUAAUCGGGUAUAAGACAGAUACCGAAGGCGCGGGAUAGCAAAUUAUAAAAGUAUCGGUAGGGGAGCAUUCCAUAUCCGUCGAAUGGUGCGGGUAACCUAUCCUGGAGGAUAUGGAAAAGCAAAUGUAGGUAUAAGUAACGAUAAGGAGGGUAAGAUUCCCUCCCGCCGCAAGACUAAGGUUUCCCGGGCAAUGUCAAUCAUCCCGGGGUCAGUCGGGUCCUAAGUCUCAGCCGAACGGCGAGGGCGAUGGCAGACACGGUCAACAUUCCGUGACUACCUUUAGGAGCGAUGCGGAGACGGAGCAGUGAAACUUCCGCGAGCCGACGGAAUGGCUCGUUAAAGAGUGUAGGUGUUGAUGGCUGUAGGCAAAUCCGCAGUCAGAGCCGAACUUGAAAGUACGGGGUCCUCUUCGGAGGAACCUGAUAGCGAGGGUAAGCAUACUCCCGAGAAAAUCCGCUAAGCAAUCCUGAAGGUACCCGUACCGUAAACGGACACACGUAGUCGGGUAGAACAUACUAAGGCGUUGAGAGAUUCAUGGUUAAGGAACUAGGCAAACUGACCCCGUAACUUCGGGAUAAGGGGUCCUCGUGAAUAGCGAGGCGCAGAGAAUAGGUCCAGGCAACUGUUUAACAAAAACACAGGGCUGUGCAAACUCGAAAGAUGAGGUAUACAGCCUGACACCUGCCCGGUGCCGGAAGGUUAAGAGGAGAUGUCAACCGCAAGGCGAAGCAUUGAAUUGAAGCCCCGGUAAACGGCGGCCGUAACUAUAACGGUCCUAAGGUAGCGAAAUUCCUUGUCGGGUAAGUUCCGACCUGCACGAAUGGUGUAAUGAUCCGGACGCUGUCUCAACCAUGAGCUCAGUGAAAUUGUAGUAUCGGUGAAGAUGCCGAUUACCCGCGAUGGGACGAAAAGACCCCGUGAACCUUUACUACAGCUUAGCAUUGACCUUGGUCAUCCGAUGUGUAGGAUAGGCCGGAGGCUUCGAAGC
rnacentral:rRNA from 1 species